AACGAACGCUGGCGGCAGGCCUAACACAUGCAAGUCGAACGGGACCUUCGGGUCUAGUGGCGGACGGGUGAGUAACGCGUGGGAACGUACCCUUUGGUUCGGGAUAGCCCCGGGACACUGGGAGUAAUACCGGAUAAGCCCUACGGGGGAAAGAUUUAUCGCCAAAGGAUCGGCCCGCGUUGGAUUAGGUAGUUGGUGGGGUAAUGGCCUACCAAGCCGACGAUCCAUAGCUGGUUUGAGAGGAUGAUCAGCCACACUGGGACUGAGACACGGCCCAGACUCCUACGGGAGGCAGCAGUGGGGAAUCUUAGACAAUGGGGGGAACCCUGAUCUAGCCAUGCCGCGUGAUCGAUGAAGGCCUUAGGGUUGUAAAGAUCUUUCAGUGGGGAAGAUAAUGACUGUACCCACAGAAGAAGCCCCGGCUAACUCCGUGCCAGCCGCCGCCGUAAAAC
rnacentral:rRNA from 1 species